UACGGAGGGUGCAAGCGUUAUCCGGAUUUACUGGGUUUAAAGGGUGCGUAGGUGGAUAAGUAAGUCAGUGGUGAAAUCUCCGGGCUUAACCCGGAAACUGCCAUUGAUACUAUUUGUCUUGAAUACUUUGGAGGUAAGCGGAAUAUGUCAUGUAGCGGUGAAAUGCUUAGAUAUGACAUAGAACACCAAUUGCGAAGGCAGCUCACUACACGAAUAUUGACACUGAGGCACGAAAGCGUGGGGAUCAAACAGG
rnacentral:rRNA from 1 species